rnacentral:lncRNA from 1 species
CUUGAGUGCCUGAAACAGCCCUGGAGACAGGAAGGGAAAAUAGCUCUUCUCAGGUCACACAGCUGGUAAGUGGCAGGGCUGAGAUUUGAAACCGGAUCUGUCUUUCCUGCCCUGAAUUCUUUCUACUGCCUUGUGUGCCCUUGAGCCGGACUUGAGGGGGCCCUCAGGGCAGGUGGAGUCCCAGAAUGCUGGGUAAACGGUGUUAGUCCCUCUUGCAGGCAGCUCCUCCAGGGGACCCACUCCAGGGAGCCCUAACCAAGCAGAUGUGCUGAUGGUCUAUGCAGCCGCUGAAGGCUGUGUAGCCUAUCGGGAUGAGAAGGGCUCAGACUUUAUCCAGAUGCUGGUGGAGGUCCUCAGAGCUGGCCCCAAGGCAGACCUCCUGGAGCUGAUGACUGAGGUCAAUCGACAGGUGUGUGAGCUGGACGUGCUGGGUCCCGACUGUGAUGAGCGCCGCAAGGCCUGUCUGGAGAUUCGCAGCUCCCUGAGGCGCCGGCUCUGCCUGCAGGUCUGACCGACCCCGCGGCCACCCAGGGGUGCUGACAGUGGGGGCCGUACACCAGCACCACCAGUGAUCCCGUCCACCACUCGGUUUCCUCUCCUAAAAACGGCGCGAUAGCACAGGGGGCUCUGCUGGCAUGGAAUUAACGUGGUGAUCGCUGGACACGUGAAUAGCGCCCGCACGCAGG